rnacentral:rRNA from 1 species
UACGUAGGGUGCAAGCGUUAAUCGGAAUUACUGGGCGUAAAGCGUGCGCAGGCGGUUAUGUAAGACAGAUGUGAAAUGCCCGGGCUUAACCUGGGAACUGCAUUUGUGACUGCAUGGCUAGAGUUUGGCAGAGGGGGGUAGAAUUCCACGUGUAGCAGUGAAAUGCGUAGAUAUGUGGAGGAACACCGAUGGCGAAGGCAGCCCCCUGGGUCGAAGA